UUAUUGGAGAGUUUGAUCCUGGCUCAGGAUGAACGCUGGCGGCGUGCCUAAUACAUGCAAGUCGAGCGAAUGGAUUAAGAGCUUGCUCUUAUGAAGUU
rnacentral:rRNA from 1 species